GGGGGAGCACCGGAUCCUGGGAUGUGUCCCCCGGUGCCCUGGGCGCCGGGGCCUGCACCACUGGAAUUGCACUCCCCGGCCGCACAGCCCCCU
rnacentral:pre_miRNA from 1 species